CAGGCCUAACACAUGCAAGUCGAACGGGCCGCAAGGCCAGUGGCAAACGGGUGCGUAACGCGUAAGCAACCUGUCUCAAACUGGGGGAUAGCCCGGCGAAAGCUGGGGUAAACCCGCACGGUCCUAUGCAGUCACCUGGCUUUUUAGGUAAACAUUCAUGGGUUUGAGAGGGGCUUGCGUCUGAUUAGCUAGUUGGUUGGGGUAACGGCUCACCAAGGCGAUGAUCAGUAGGGGUUCUGAGAGGAUUGGCCCCCACAUGGGUACUGAGAGACGGACCCAACUCCUACGGGAGGCAGCAGUAGGGAAUAUUGGGCAAUGGGCGCAAGCCUGACCCAGCCAUGCCGCGUGCCGGACGAACGCGCUCAGCGUUGUAAACUGCUUUUAGCUGGGAAGAACGGAUAGAGUGCGCUCUAUAGUGACGGUACCAGCGGAAUAAGCACCGGCUAACUCCGUGCCAGCAGCCGCGGUAAU
rnacentral:rRNA from 1 species